UCUCAUAGAUGAGCAAAGAAAGUGGUUUCUUAAGAGGGAAUCUACUCCUGGUGAAGAUAUUGUGAA
rnacentral:pre_miRNA from 1 species